rnacentral:tRNA from 1 species
AAGGGAGACCUAAUUCAGGUAGGAGACGAAAAAAAAGUAGUCCCUACCAAGAAUCAAUCCCAAAAGGUCGGAGCGAGGCGAAAUUGGCUUUCAAACUAGGUUCUGGGUUCACACAAGACCUGAAUCAGGAACAAGGGCUAUUAGCUCAGGUGGUUAGAGCGCACCCCUGAUAAGGGUGAGGUCCCUGGUUCGAGUCCAGGAUGGCCCACCUGUACAGGUGGCAAAAAGAAAGAAAAGAAGCGAGGAAUCAGCACCUUAUCUUACUUAUAUAGUAAGAGAGAAUGCUGGCUCUGAGUACAGAGUCCAGAGGAACCUUGAAAACUGCAUAGAGCUAGGUGAAAAAGCCAAAAAAGAAGACCACAA